GACGAACGCUGGCGGCGUGCUUAACACAUGCAAGUCGAACGGAAAGGCCCUGCUUGCAGGGUACUCGAGUGGCGAACGGGUGAGUAACACGUGGGUGAUCUGCCCUGCACUUCGGGAUAAGCCUGGGAAACUGGGUCUAAUACCGGAUAGGAGCCAUUUUUAGUGUGAUGGUUGGAAAGUUUUUUCGGUGUAGGAUGAGCUCGCGGCCUAUCAGCUUGUUGGUGGGGUAAUGGCCUACCAAGGCGGCGACGGGUAGCCGGCCUGAGAGGGUGGACGGCCACAUUGGGACUGAGAUACGGCCCAGACUCCUACGGGAGGCAGCAGUGGGGAAUAUUGCACAAUGGGCGCAAGCCUGAUGCAGCGACGCCGCGUGGGGGAUGACGGCCUUCGGGUUGUAAACUCCUUUCGCUAGGGACGAAGUUUUUUGUGACGGUACCUAGAUAAGAAGCACCGGCUAACUACGUG
rnacentral:rRNA from 1 species